CAAAUUUGGCUCAAUGGCUGUGAGCAGAAGCCUCACAGACGACAAGGAGAAGGAUGUGUUUCCAGCUAGGCUGCAGCGGCUGCACGAUUUGCUCUGUUGUCUCCAGACGAGAAGGCUGACGCUGGAGACGCGAUAGCAGAGGCAGAUGGAACCCUCGUGCUGCCUCUCGGAGCUUGUCAGUAGAUGCUCUUCCCACAUGGUUGCCAGAGAGAAAGGAGCACCCCUGGGCCAUGCUGUGUGCCCGUCUCGGCGCGAGCGAGGGCGGCGGCAGCUUUAGAUCCCCUUGUCCCCGCCGUGUGUCCAGCCAGGAGUCGUGCACGUCGGGAAGGAGGCAGUGACCGGGGCACCAGGAAACCUGUCUCUCCUCUGUGCCUGUUCUGCAGAUUCCUGCUGGGGGCAAGGAGUGUCAGAACAGAAAGCGGGAGCUCGAGCCCGGGCCGGAGCCUGGGUGGCGCGGCGGCCAGCAGAGCACUUGUCCCAGCACCAGUGUUUCCUGGGCUCAGUGCACAAAGACGACGACAACAAUCCUGUUAUGCAGGGGAUUAAGUCUUCACCAGCCUGACCACUGUCAGGUAUCCCGUGUGCCAGCCCACAGCGAGGUUUCUGAUCCUUCCCCCCUUCCCAUCUGAAACAGGUAUGAAGUGACCAGCUUUGUGAGCUCCCACUGAACUCUGGUAAGUCCCCAUCACCUCACCUGGACGGUUUUGGGUUCUAAACACUGAUUUUUAUGAUUUUGAAAUGCUACUUUUUAAAUGGGGGAGAUACUGAGACUCG
rnacentral:lncRNA from 1 species